rnacentral:rRNA from 1 species
AUUGAACGCUGGCGGCAGGCUUAACACAUGCAAGUCGAGCGGGGUGAUGGUGCUUGCACUAUCACUUAGCGGCGGACGGGUGAGUAAUGCUUAGGAAUCUGCCUAUUAGUGGGGGACAACAUCUCGAAAGGGAUGCUAAUACCGCAUACGUCCUUCGGGAGAAAGCAGGGGAUCACUUGUGACCUUGCGCUAAUAGAUGAGCCUAAGUCGGAUUAGCUAGUUGGUGGGGUAAAGGCCUACCAAGGCGACGAUCUGUAGCGGGUCUGAGAGGAUGAUCCGCCAAACUGGGACUGAGACACGGCCCAGACUCCUACGGGAGGGAGCAGUGGGGAAUAUUGGAAAAUGGGGGGAACCCUGAUCCAGCCAUGCCGCGUGUGUGAAGAAGGCCUUAUGGUUGUAAAGCACUUUAAGCGAGGAGGAGGCUCUUUUGGUUAAUACCCAAGAUGAGUGGACGUUACUCGCAGAAUAAGCACCGGCUAACUCUGUGCCAGCCGCCGCAGUAA